CUCUAAGCCGAUGGUUCUCACAAUUCAGAUAACAAUGAAGUUCUAAUCUGCAAAAGCUGCAGGUGUUGUUAGAAGAACCAUCCUUCUAUGGGUGGGGUGCAGUGGAUCACGCCUGUAGUCCCAGCACUUUGGGGGCCAAGGAGUUCAAGACCAACCUGGACAACAUGGUGAAACCCCAUCUCUACUAAAAAUACAAAAAUUAGCCAGGCAUGGAGGCACAUGCCUGUUAAUCCCAGCUACUCAGGAGGCUGAGGUAUGAAAACUGUUUGAACCUGGGAGGCAGAGAUUGCAGUGGGCCGAGAUGGUGCCACUGCACUCCAGCCCGGGUGAAAGAGCGAGACUCCAUCUCAAAAGAAAGAAUCAUCGUCCUAUGAAUUGGAAUCUUAUAAAAAUAGCGCAUCAACCAAAUUGGGACAGAAUUAUUAUAUAUAUACAUACGAAGAGAAAAAUGGGAGACUGCCAUGUGGGUCAGUGCCCUCAGGAGUCCCCAGCCAGAAUCCCUCCCCCAGCACCACAUCCAACUCCUAACUGUCCACACCUUGGCCAAACUCUGGGCAUAUCUGGACACUGGGAACAUGUCCCUUCCCUGCCCCCUACAAACCAUCGGCCACAUUUCCACAAUAUGGGCAUGGUUCUGCCUGUCCCUGGCUGCUGGAGACAUCCUGGUGUCAGAGCUCCUGUUGGCAGUGCACAGUGUUGACGGGGAGCCAUGAGUGCUGAUGUAGCUAACAGUGCUCACCAACUGGUAUUGUGCAGGCCUCACCCUGCUAGGUUUGCCCUCUGAGGCACCCUGAGCAAGCCAGCUAACAGCCAAAGGUGCUGUUCCUGGGAGUCUCAGCCACCCAGUUUCUGAAUGACCCCAAGGGUUAGAGAGAUCCACAGUUUGAAGCACCACCACAAUGCAUUUGCAACACUGUGGUUGGUAGACUCCAGUGUAGGUAUCACGGAUAAGCAGAGGUUGUUUUACAAUCAGUAUUUCUGAUUUCUAAAGCCAUCUCUUUCCACUAGGCCCCAAAGCUACAGAGGGUGAAGGCUAAGAUCAAAGGAGUGGUGUUCUUGGAAAAACCAGAAGCAGAACUCAUAGCAUCAACACAACUGACCACAAGAGCAACAGUGCAGCAGAAGAAUGGCCUCCCACAAUGUAAGUUAUAAGGUGACAACCUGGAGAUAGGUCUCAUCCCUCUCAUGCCUCAGAGUAGGGAGAAGAUAUCAAGCAGAUUACACUAGGCCCCGCUGACAUCUAGGACUUUCCUUUGCAGACUACUUCUAUGCUCUCUGGCAUCUAUAGCUCCAUGAACCUUAUUCUGCUCAUUUCAUUUGUUUCUAAUUCAGAGGUGGUCACUUUCAAUUGCCCAGUCUUUUAAAGGUGGGGAAUUUUUGGAUGGACUGAGCAAAGCCUUGAAGCAAAAGCAAGGAUCUUUCUGGUCCCAAAUACAAGUGGGAUUUGAAGGUACCUGUUGCUGAGUAACCUCCGCUGUUUCCUCUCUGCUCCCUCUCAAGAACAAAUCCUCCACCAAAGUCGGCUUGGAUCUCACAAUGCUUCAUCAUGAAGACGUGAGCAAUCUUUCAAACUGAUCUCCUUCUGCAAAGUUGGGGUGCAAAAGUCUUCCAGCCCAGGAGGUCAUUGAAACCUUUAGCCUAACUCUUCCCAUAUUCUCUUUUCAAGUUUGUUGUUGUAGCUGUUGCUGCUGUUUUGGUGUUAUCACUACUGAAAUAUAGUUCAUUUGCCAUAAAAGUUUACUCUUUUAAGGUGUACAAUUCAGCGAUUUUUUUUUUAGUAUAUUCACUUGUGCAGCCAUAUCCACUAACUCGAGAACCUCUUCAUUACCUGAGAGAAACCCUUUAACCAUUAGUAAUCACCUCAAUUCCCUCCUUUUCCCAGCUGUGGCAACCAAUAAUCUAUAUUUUGUCUAUGGAUUUACCUUGUCUGGACAUUUCAUGUGAGUGGAAUCAUACAAAAUGUGGCCUUUUAUAUCUGGCUGUUUUCACUUUUGUUUUCAACGUUCACCCCCAUUGUAGCACGUGUCAGUACUUUAUGCCUUUGAUGGCUAAAUAACAUUCCACUGUAUGAACAUACCACAUUGUGCUUAUCCAUCCAUCCAUGGAUGACAUUUAGAUUGUUUCCACCUUUUAGAUAAGAUGAAAAAUCCUGCUAUGAACAUUCAUUUACAAGUUUUUAUGUAUUUGUAAAAUUUUUCAAAAACAUACUCAAAAACUUUUUUUUCAAAUAGAAAGCUUUAGCUUUA
rnacentral:lncRNA from 10 species